AUAUGUUUAUCACAUUUUUCUAUUAAGAGAAAUUCCACUUAGAGUCAGUUCCUUUCCAAAGUUGAUUUUGUUGGCUCUCUCUCAUGGCAUUGCAUUUCUUCAAAUUUUACAGUUGUGAUUUGCAAGUUUUUUAAGUAGACUUUUUAGUUUGUUUCAUUCUUUGGUAGAUUGUAUUAAUGUUUCUAAUUCUUUACUCCUUCCCUUUUACAGAAUUAUAACUGGACAUCUGUUGCCAGGUGACUUUUCAGUGCCUUCCACUAUAGUAGAUGGAAUAUACUUCCCCACUCCAUUGAGCCCAUUUUUUGUUGGCUAACCUAUAGUUUUAAGAUUGUAAUUUUUUUAAAUCUAGUUACCUUGAUUGCUUUUUAGAGAGCUAUUAGUCCCAAUAACUUAGACCACCAUUAUUUAAAAAUGGAAUUCCUAACCACAAUGUAUGCACCUCAUCAUAGGAAGGAACACAAAUGGGGGAGUAGAAGAAAACAGAAAUGUAUUAAUAGGUGACAGUGAGUACUUCAGCUUUAUGUGUAAUGUUUUAUUUCUUGUAUUACAAAGUAAAAGAUAUGAAGCAUUUGACUAAAAAUGUUAAUUUAUAUAAUUUGAAUGAUGGGUACAUGGGCAGUUGUUAUAUUUAUAUAUACUUUUACGUAUUCUAAAUUUUUUUCUCAAAAAAGAGAAACAGUCAAGGGUUA
rnacentral:lncRNA from 1 species